rnacentral:lncRNA from 1 species
AUUUGGGGUCGUUCUGACAUAAAGUGGUUUGGUUUCAGUGCCCUCCCGAUCGCAGUUGCGAAGGAUCGAACCGUGAUCCUCCCUAUCAAGUUCAGCGUCAAUCACCACUUGGAUUUCACCAUGCAAUAUGCAAAGAGAUGUAUAAGCAAGCAUAUAUGCCACAGUUUUGAGGAUCGCUCUUUUCCGUGAAGUCGCAUCCUUCAGAUGAAAGCUUGGAGCCAGCAGGAUCAGAUUGACCAAUCUGUUCAGAUUGCAUGAGUUCAAUUUUAAGUGUCUCCUUCUACAUGGAAUCUUCAAACAUGUAUGAGAACAAUGGUGACUAUGUUGAUAUAGAAGUUUUUCUAUUUUUCCUUUAACUCUUUCACCGUAUAUUUCUUUGUAUAUCAUUUUAAGUUCAUAAUCUCAUGUGUUGUUUUUUUUUUCCUCUCAGUUGCAAUGGUGCUCAAUUCUAAAGCCACACAUCUACCAUGAAUUUCAUAUUAGAGCUGCGAACAUACCGUUUGGAGUUUGAUGUUAAUAGUGUUAAGUAUCCA